CACGUAGGGGGCAAGCGUUGUCCGGAUUUAUUGGGCGUAAAGAGCUCGUAGGUGGUUCGGUAAGUCGGGUGUGAAACCUCCAGGCUCAACCUGGAGACGCCACCCGAUACUGCUGUGACUGGAGUCCGGUAGGGGAGCGUGGAAUUCCUGGUGUAGCGGUGAAAUGCGCAGAUAUCAGGAGGAACACCGGUGGUGUAGACGGCUUUCUGGACCGUAACUGACGCUGAGACACGAAAGCGUCGGGUAGCAAACAGG
rnacentral:rRNA from 1 species